UGAACGCUAGCUACAGGCUUAACACAUGCAAGUCGAGGGGCAGCAUGGUCUUAGCUUGCUAAGGCCGAUGGCGACCGGCGCACGGGUGAGUAACACGUAUCCAACCUGCCGUCUACUCUUGGACAGCCUUCUGAAAGGAAGAUUAAUACAAGAUGGCAUCAUGAGUCCACAUGUUCACAUGAUUAAAGGUAUUCCGGUGGACGAUGGGGAUGCGUUCCAUUAGAUAGUAGGCGGGGUAACGGCCCACCUAGUCUUCGAUGGAUAGGGGUUCUGAGAGGAAGGUCCCCCACAUUGGAACUGAGACACGGUCCAAACUCCUACGGGAGGCAGCAGUGAGGAAUAUUGGUCAAUGGGCGAGAGCCUGAACCAGCCAAGUAGCGUGAAGGAUGACUGCCCUAUGGGUUGUAAACUUCUUUUAUAAAGGAAUAAAGUCGGGUAUGCAUACCCGUUUGCAUGUACUUUAUGAAUAAGGAUCGGCUAACUCCGUGCCAGCAGCCGCGGUAAUACGGAGGAUCCGAGCGUUAUCCGGAUUUAUUGGGUUUAAAGGGAGCGUAGAUGGAUGUUUAAGUCAGUUGUGAAAGUUUGCGGCUCAACCGUAAAAUUGCAGUUGAUACUGGAUAUCUUGAGUGCAGUUGAGGCAGGCGGAAUUCGUGGUGUAGCGGUGAAAUGCUUAGAUAUCACGAAGAACUCCGAUUGCGAAGGCAGCCUGCUAAGCUGCAACUGACAUUGAGGCUCGAAAGUGUGGGUAUCAAACAGGAUUAGAUACCCUGGUAGUCCACACGGUAAACGAUGAAUACUCGCUGUUUGCGAUAUACUGCAAGCGGCCAAGCGAAAGCGUUAAGUAUUCCACCUGGGGAGUGCGCCGGCAACGGUGAAACUCAAAGGAAUUGACGGGGGCCCGCACAAGCGGAGGAACAUGUGGUUUAAUUCGAUGAUACGCGAGGAACCUUACCCGGGCUUAAAUUGCAGAUGAAUUACGGUGAAAGCCGUAAGCCGCAAGGCAUCUGUGAAGGUGCUGCAUGGUUGUCGUCAGCUCGUGCCGUGAGGUGUCGGCUUAAGUGCCAUAACGAGCGCAACCCUUGUUGUCAGUUACUAACAGGUUCCGCUGAGGACUCUGACAAGACUGCCAUCGUAAGAUGUGAGGAAGGUGGGGAUGACGUCAAAUCAGCACGGCCCUUACGUCCGGGGCUACACACGUGUUACAAUGGGGGGUACAGAGGGCCGCUACCACGCGAGUGGAUGCCAAUCCCAAAAACCUCUCUCAGUUCGGACUGGAGUCUGCAACCCGACUCCACGAAGCUGGAUUCGCUAGUAAUCGCGCAUCAGCCACGGCGCGGUGAAUACGUUCCCGGGCCUUGUACACACCGCCCGUCAAGCCAUGGGAGCCGGGGGUACCUGAAGUGCGUAACCGCGAGGAGCGCCCUAGGGUAAAACUGGUGACUGGGGCUA
rnacentral:rRNA from 1 species